GUAUUUAUCUAAUUUCUUAGUUUUUCAUCUUUUUCCUCUAAUUUUAAUUCAACAUAAUUAAUUAUUAAAUCUGAAUAUUAGGUUCAAUUACAUCCCCUAAUAAUGAGGAAACAGAGAAGGCAACGGUUUCAAAAUUCUCAGAAAAUUUUCUAGCCAAAAUUUGUAUCUGGACAUCCAAAAGUCGCCAUAUGAAACGCACCUUUAUUGAAGAAAACAAAAGUGCUCCUUCGUAACAACAAUAAAAGCAACAAAAAGUACCGCAGUUAACAUUCCACUCUCCCUCCUACAGCCUACAGGGUUUUGAUCUACUAAGAACGAGCGGAUAUAUCUGAAUAUAGGUGGAAGAAUCGUUAGCAGAGGCAUCUCUCUUUUGAACCAUUUCUUCAAAAAGUGAAAAGGCACCUUCUCUUGAUGAUUUUUUCCACGGCUCAGUUUGUUUUCACAUCCUCGCAGUCUAAGGUAUAUACUCCACAAAAUUAUUAAACUCCUGCUUUUGAAAGUUAAAGUUCUCUCUUGCAAUGUUAGGUCCACGUUAAUUAUCUUUUUCUUUUUAUUUCUAUCCACUUUAUUCGGUGCCCGAAACUCUAAUUAGUUGAAGUGUUGACAGCUCAUUGGCAGACUUUCAUUGUUUGUCACUUGAACAAUAUGUGUGUGUAAAUAUUUUAACAAAUACGUAUUUUUUUUAAGUUACAAUCAUUGUAAAAAAAAUAAAAUAAUAAUAAUAAUAAUAAUUUAGUGGGGGAGAUUAUAUUCUUGUAAAAGCUUCUGCUUCUUCUUCUUAUCUUACUGAUAUCCUUAUUUUUUGGCUUUAAUUCACUUCAUUUAAUGUGCGUGUCUCUUUAGAUGUAUGUUUUCAAAAAUACCUAAUUUUUAUUUUUUCCUAUAUUGGUAAUUUUUUGGUCUAUAGCACCUAAAUGCAACUUCGAUCCCGUGCAGAAAUAGAUACCAUGCUUAAUGUAAUCUGCAAUAUGGAUCUAGAAUAAUCAGUUUUCGCGGUGUUAUUCCUGGCUAGAACCAACAUAAGACUACACGAUCACGGGCACAACAUAGAUGAUAGGGACUAAACAGCUGCAUAAUGGGUGAGAUGGCUAGAAUCCGGAGAGUGCAACUUUAAUUUCAAGAAGUUUUGAUGAAUGAUCGUAAAACUAUUUCAUUUGGAAGUUGAAAAGUGAUGCUUAAUGUGAGAAAGAGACAACAAGAUCAAUGGUGAAACAAUUGACUUGUAAUGUUGCAAGCUUUCUUUUAUUGUAGUUGUGUAGAUAUAUUGGAACUCAAAUUACUUUGAAUCUUAGUAUUGAGGACUACAGAUUACUACAAGAUUGACAACAAUGAAAAGUUUCGGGAUGAAAUGGAAGGAAAGGAAAGGAAAAGAACAUGCGGAUGGUUUUUGCUGCUGAAAAAUGAGUAUUUUUCUUUGUUGCACACACCUUAAAAACCAAAGGCUGCCUUGUGAAAUAUGGAGUGAGCUAUAGUUAGGAUAUUAUUACUCUAGAAAAUGUAUUCAUUGGUUUGUCUUUUUUCUUUUCAAAAUUAAUUAUUUAAUUCGAUUUCGUUUGAUUUCUAAUUGUAGAAUUGGGAACGUAAUCAAUACUACAU